CUCAAGUUCCAGCUGUGGAGGAGAAACCAGCUGCAGCUCAAGUUCCAGCUGUAGAGGAGAAACCAGCUGCAGCUCAAGUUCCAGCUGUGGAGGAGAAACCAGCACAAGUUUAGAAUUCAGUAAAAGCUCCUUCAGCAUCUGCUUUAAAGGACGAUGAGUGGACAUCUCGUCUGCGGCGGUAGAGGACGAUGAGUGGACGUCUCGUCUGCGGCGGUAGAGGACGAUGAGUGGAUGUCUCGUCUGCAGCGGUAGAGGAAGAUGAGUGGACGUCUCGUCUGCGGCGGUAGAGGACGAUGAGUGGACGUCUCGUCUGCGGCGGUAGAGGCGAUGAGUGGACGUCUGUCUGCGGCGGUUUGGCUCUGAAGCUGGAAACACACCUGCUCCUAGUCAGAAGAAAUGGUUGGAUCUGUUUUAUAAGAGUGAGAAAUGUCCAGUGCAGGUCCACGACCAGUCGAAACUUUCCGGUGGACCACAGAAACGUCUUUGUGGAUUCCACCCUCCUAAAGUGUUCAUUUCAGACUUUCAGGUGAUCAUCUCUUUCAUGUCACGUCACUGUGGACCUGCACAACUAUAUUUGUGACCACACUCAUGUGCUUUAAAUGUCCUCUGCUGUGGGAUGCAGAAAUACUUGUUGCAAUAUUUAUUUUUAAUAUCCUCUCUUUAGCGCCCGCCAGAGUUUCCUCACACCUCCACUCGCGCACCGCUGCUACAGUUUACAUCCCUAAUCAUAUAGAACAAUAUCUGCUUUAUCUAUUCCCAUUUCUCAUCCAGUGAUCAAAUAGUGGAAGCACUGAGAUCAGUGUAAAAGACUUUGGUUUUUGCUCAAGUGUGUUAAAGUGUGUUAUAUUUAUAGAUCUUCAUUUCACUUCACUUCUGC